CGAGCGUUGUCCGGAAUUACUGGGCGUAAAGAGCUCGUAGGUGGUUUGUCGCGUUGUUCGUGAAAACUCACAACUCAAUUGUGGGCGUGCGGGCGAUACGGGCAGACUAGAGUACUGCAGGGGAGACUGGAAUUCCUGGUGUAGCGGUGGAAUGCGCAGAUAUCAGGAGGAACACCGGUGGCGAAGGCGGGUCUCUGGGCAGUAACUGACGCUGAGGAGCGAAAGCGU
rnacentral:rRNA from 1 species